AAAAGCUGCUCACUGACCGAAGAAGAGUCUAUCCCGGAAGUAGGCGCUAGUUAGCUAGCUCAGCUAGCUACUUCACUUCAAAAUACUAAUAAAAUAUGUCGAUAUGCCAUUUCUGAUACGGUUGUGAUUGGCAUAGACAUUCGCCCGUCUGUCAAAAAACAUUAUGUAAUUCUAACGAGCUAGACGCGAAGAGGCACAAAACAACAUUGGUAACUUAGCUUGUUUAGCUAACGUUAGCUAGCUAGCAAGUUAGCUGUAAUAUUUUCACGACAACUGAGCCGACCCCGUUCUGAGGUGACAGUGGGUUUCAGUGGCAAUUUCUCCAAACCCCAAAGUCUCCUGAAGAACUGUUGGGUCGAUUCACAAUGGAUGAGGACGGUGAUGGCAGACCCAGCCUGUCUAUCUCCUGUCCCACUCGACCUAAACCCAGACGGUCACCAGAUCCUGGCAGGAACCAGAGAACACUGCAGGGUCCCAAGCUGCUUAAAGUUGACUGGGAUUCUCUUUUUAGAGAGAGACAACCUCCAUCAGGAGUAGCUAAACAGCACCAGGAGAAUCAGCAGAAACCCAAUACAUUUCACACCUGUCCAGUGUGUGGAAGACACUGCCAAAAGUUAUCCAUACUCCAGAUCCACAUGAGAAUCCACACGGGAGAGAAG